UUGGAAAGCCCUAGAAAUUGGGGGCAGGUAUUUACUUGCAACAAAAAGACCAGCCUUUCGGUAUUAACACAACCCACGAAGGACUUUGUUCCUAUAGAUUGAUCUGUGGAUUAUCAAUUUUAUGUGGAUGGGGAGAGUGAUGAAUGCCUUGGCCUCCCAGGCCGUGUGUUCCAGUAUCAACGGCCGGAGUUUACACCAAAUGUGCGGUAUUACUCCCGCAAAGAGUAUCCGCAGCGCGAUGGUGCUGUCAAUAGCAAUAUUUGGGGAUCCUUGGCUUUGCCAGUGUUUGAUGAUUCUGGGUGGGGAUGUGUUGGUGUACUUGAGUUAGUGACUAGUGCUGAAAUGAAACAUUGCAUUAGUCUUUUCAAACAUUGGAUCUGCAAUGAUCUUGAGGCUGUUGGUUUGAGAAGCUCAAGAACAUGUAAUUAUUCGUAUUGUCAGCAUGAUGAGGAUAAAGCUCUUGAGAUUGCACUGGUUGAAAUCAGGGUGGUGCUGGAAGUGGUGUGUAGAACUCAUUUUCUACCUUUGGCUCAGACUUGGAUCUUGUGUUGGCCUUGCAGUGUUGUUGCCGAUGAGAGCUUCAGUGUAAGUUGCUGGGAACAACUUGCAUCCAUAAUUGAUGUAGUCUGUCUUAGGGAGAAAGAUAAGUUUCCUUUCUCAAAUGCAUGUGCUUCGCAUCACAUACGAAAGGGGCAGGGAGUUGUUGGUAUGGCAUAUUCGUCCAAUAAGUUGGUCUUCUGCAAAGAUAUUACUCAAUUUAGCAUAAUUAAGUACCCCUUGGCACAUUAUGCACACGAGUAUGGACUUACGAGCUGUUUUGCAAUUUGCUUGCGGAGUAGUUAUACUGGAGACAAUGUUUACGUAGUAGAAUUCUUUUUGCCUCCAAGUAACACUGAAGGCGGGGAUCCGAUAAUCAUUGUGGUUCCGUUAUUGACAACAAUGAAGCAACAUUUUCAAAGUUUUAUGGUUCCUUCUGGAGAAGAACUAGGAGAGCAGUUACCUAUUGAAGUUAUUGAUUUUUCAAAGGAUGAUAAACUUGAUUCUUUACCCCAAAUUGCAAGAUCUCCUGCAGAUAGGAUGGAGAUUAAAGGGGAGAUGGAGUGGCAGGAUGUAUCAGAUCAACAAUUAAUAAAAAUAGAUACUAUAUACACUGGAAAUGAUGUUGUUAGUAAAAUAGAAAAAACCAACAAUGUUGUUACUUCCUCAUUUAAAAAAUGCAUAGCUAACUCAUCCCAAAGACAACACAGAAAAGCUGGAAUUCAAAUUAGUUUUGGGGAUAUCCAACAACAUUUUGGAAUGAAACUUGAUGAUGCUGCAAAAAGCCUUUGCGUUAGCUGAUCUAUGCUGAAGUGUGCUUGCAGGGGAUAUAAUAUCUCUUGGUGGUCAACUUGUUAACUCAUAAGAGAAACAAGGAGAACAACUCUCUUUCCAAUAAAUUUGUCCUAGUUGCUGCUCGGGAUCAAAUUCGACAAUGUAGUCAGUCUUCAAUUUCUGAUCCUUCUCAUAGGAAAUACUUGGCUACUGCUGCUCCCAUAGAACCACAUUUUAUGGCAGCACAAGCUACUAGUAUUGUAACUAUGAAGGUAAAAUAUGGAGAUGAUUAUAUUAAAUUUCAGUUCCCUGUGUUGUCGGGAAUGGUAGAUUUUCAACAAGAAGUGGCAAAGAGGCUGAACUUAAAGGUUGGAACUUACAAUGAUGACAAUGAUUGGAUUUUAAUAGCUUGUGAUGAAGACCUGCAGCCUGCAGGAUUAUAAUUGUAAUUCGAGAUCACUGGAAGAAUACAGUCACAAUGUUACUUCAGCCAAUUGGAACUCAGUGGCUUCAUAGUAUGGCUGAAGUUAAUGGGUAUGAAGAACUUGGUGGUACAUGCUCUGAGGAUUGUACUGUAAUUGAGAAUACCCUCAAAAGUUUUAUCCAUAUGUAUCCAAAUUGGGCUCCUUUGUCCAUAUAUAUUUACUGGCUACAAGCACUUUCCUGAUUGACUCGAGCAUUAUUGCCGGUAAAGUUGGUUCUUGUUCUGCUGGAUUUUCAAGGUUUACUCUUGCCUUUCAGUUUUAAAUAUAUAUUGUCAAUUUGUUAUUGCAUUUCUUGGCUAAGAUAUUACUCUUUAUUAUUUUCAAUUUUGACUAUACUCAACUAGGAUAUUACCUAAGAUUAACUUCAGAAUUAAUGGGUCAGUCUUUUUUUGAAUUUUUAGAAAACUAUGGGCUUGGAUUAUUGAAUUAUAGUUCUAUCAAGUUGGCAACUUAAGGAUUUUAAGUGAACUUCAAAUGUUCAAGAAGCAUUCUCAUUACUUUUAACUUCCCUCUCCUGCCCAUGCG